rnacentral:tRNA from 1 species
GGUUGUGGCUCAGGGGUAGAGCGCUCGCCUAGCACAAGUGAGGCCUUGGGUUCGAGCCUCAGCACCA